AAAUUGAAGAGUUUGAUCAUGGCUCAGAUUGAACGCUGGCGGCAGGCCUAACACAUGCAAGUCGAACGGUAACAGGAAGCAGC
rnacentral:rRNA from 15 species